AUUGAACGCUGGCGGCAGGCCUAACACAUGCAAGUCGAACGAGUGGCGGACGGGUGAGUAAUUUCUGGGAAACUGCCUGAUGGAGGGGGAUAACUACUGGAAACGGUAGCUAAUACCGCAUACGAUCAUUUGUGCCCAGAUGGGAUUAGCUAGUUGGUGGGGUAACGGCUCACCAAGGCGAAGAUCCCUAGCUGGUCUGAGAGGAUGACCAGCCACACUGGGACUGAGACACGGGCCAGACUCCUACGGGAGGCAGCAGUGGGGAAUAUUGCACAAUGGGCGAAAGCCUGAUGGAGCCAUGCCGCGUGUAUGAAGAAGGCCUUCGGGUUGUAAAGUACUGUCAGCAGGGAAGCGGUAUCCGCAGAAGAAGCACCGGCUAACUCCGUGCCAGCAGCCGCGGUAAUAC
rnacentral:rRNA from 1 species